CUCACACCCAUGUGUUUAGGAUCCCAAAGGAUCACUAUUAAAUUUGGCACAGAUCUCUAAAAAAGUUAUCACAUGGGUGUGAGACUUGACUUUUCUAGAGAUCUGUGUCAAAUUUAAUAGUGAUCUUUUGGGGUCCUAGACACAUGGGUGUGGG
rfam:Amborella trichopoda AMTR_V1.0_contig_28402, whole genome shotgun sequence.